rnacentral:tRNA from 1 species
UCCUUGACAGUCCAGUGGUUAAGACACUGUGCUUCCACUGCAGGGGGCAUAGGUUCAAUCCCUGGUCAGUGAA